rnacentral:lncRNA from 1 species
AUAGCUUUAGAUGAUGUAGAGAGUAUCCAACUAUCUCUAGAGCCAUUAAAGAUGGUGUGCAGUUGGGAAUUACGUGAUAAUUACAGCAAGAGUUAGAGAGCGACUCCUGUCGCAGGAGAGAUGGCGCCUACUACCAUCAAUGAGCCCUUGUUGUUCCAUUAUUGAGUUGGUAAGCUUCGUCUCUCCUCGACUGAAGUCCUUUUCAAUUUCUUCCCAAG